rnacentral:tRNA from 1 species
GCUAGUGUAGCUUAAUAUUAAAGCAUAGCACUGAAGAUGCUAAGACGGGCCCUGAAAAGCUCCACAUGCA